CACGCCGUAAACGAUGAAUACUAGGUGUAGGGGGUAUCGACUCCCCCUGUGCCGCAGCUAACGCAUUAAGUAUUCCACCUGAGUAGUACGGUCGCAAGACUGAAACUCAAAGGAAUUGAC
rnacentral:rRNA from 1 species